rnacentral:rRNA from 1 species
UACGAAGGGUGCGAGCGUUAUUCGGAAUAACUGGGUGUAAAGAGCGUGUCGGCGGUUUCUUAAGUCAUUCGUUAAAGGGCUCAGCUUAACUGAGUAUCAUGCGGGCGAAACUGGGAAACUAGAGUGCGGGAGAGAAGAGUGGAAUUCUCGGAGUAGCGGUAAAAUGCGUAGAUCUCGAGAGGAACACCGGUUGCGAAGGCGGCUCUUUGGUCCGUAACUGACGCUUAAGCGCGAAAGCGUGGGGAGCAAACAGG